UACAGAGGGUGCGAGCGUUAAUCGGAAUUACUGGGCGUAAAGCGCACGUAGGUGGCGACGUAAGUCGGGUGUGAAAGCCCCGGGCUCAACCUGGGAAUUGCAUUCGAGACUGCAUUGCUGGAGUACGGAAGAGGAGGGCGGAAUUCCCGGUGUAGCGGUGAAAUGCGUAGAUAUCGGGAGGAACAUCAGUGGCGAAGGCGGCCCUCUGGUCCAGUACUGACACUCAAGUUCGACUGCGUGGGGCGCGAAUAGG
rnacentral:rRNA from 1 species